rnacentral:rRNA from 1 species
UACGUAGGUGACAAGCGUUGUCCGGAUUUACUGGGCGUAAAGAGCGCGCAGGCGGUCGAUCAAGUCGAGUGUGAAAGCCCCCGGCUCAACUGGGGAGGGUCAUUCGAUACUGAUCGACUCGAAGGCAGGAGAGGGUAGUGGAAUUCCCGGUGUAGUGGUGAAAUGCGUAGAUAUCGGGAGGAACACCAGUGGCGAAGGCAGCUCGCUGGGACGUUACUGACGCUGAGACGCGAAAGCGUGGGGAGCAAACAGG